rnacentral:rRNA from 1 species
GCAUGCAGGUGGUUCAUUAAGUCAGAUGUGAAAGCCCGGGGCUCAACCUCGGAACCGCAUUUGAAACUGGUGAACUAGAGUGCUGUAGAGGGGGGUAGAAUUUCAGGUGUAGCGGUGAAAUGCGUAGAGAUCUGAAGGAAUACCAGUGGCGAAGGCGGCCCCCUGGACAGACACUGACACUCAGAUGCGNNNGNGNGGGGAGCAAACAGGAUUAGAUACCCUGGUAGUCCACGCCGUAAACGAUGUCUACUUGGAGGUUGUGGCCUUGAGCCGUGGCUUUCGGAGCUAACGCGUUAAGUAGACCGCCUGGGGAGUACGGUCGCAAGAUUAAAACUCAAAUGAAUUGACGGGGGCCCGCACAAGCGGUGGAGCAUGUGGUUUAAUUCGAUGCAACGCGAAGAACCUUACCUACUCUUGACAUCUACAGAAUUCGCUAGAGAUAGCUUAGUGCCUUCGGGAACUGUAAGACAGGUGCUGCAUGGCUGUCGUCAGCUCGUGUUGUGAAAUGUUGGGUUAAGUCCCGCAACGAGCGCAACCCUUAUCCUUGUUUGCCAGCACGUAAUGGUGGGAACUCCAGGGAGACUGCCGGUGAUAAACCGGAGGAAGGUGGGGACGACGUCAAGUCAUCAUGGCCCUUACGAGUAGGGCUACACACGUGCUACAAUGGCGCAUACAGAGGGCUGCAAGCUAGCGAUAGUGAGCGAAUCCCAAAAAGUGCGUCGUAGUCCGGAUCGGAGUCUGCAACUCGACUCCGUGAAGUCGGAAUCGCUAGUAAUCGUGAAUCA